rnacentral:rRNA from 1 species
CACCAGCGCCUCGAGUGGGGAUCACGAUUAUUGGGUCUAAAGCGUCCGUAGCAGGCUUUAUAAAUGCUUUGUGAAAUCGGCAGGCCUAACCUGCCGGCGUGCAGAGUAGACUGUAGAGCUCGAGACCGGGAGAGGUUAGAAGUAUUCCUAGGGUACCGGUAAAAUGGGUUAAUCCUAGGAGGACUACCUAUGGCGAAGGCAUCUAACCAGAACGGUUCUGACUGUGAGGGACGAAAGCUAGGGGAGCAAAACG